AGGGACCGGUCUACACCGGGAUGUUCAUAACCCUUUGUUGUCCGACUCUGUUGCCUCCGGGGCGACCCUGCCUUCGGGCGGGGGCUCCGGGUGGACACUUCAAACUCUUGCGUAACUUUGCAGUCUGAGUAAACUUAAUUAAUAAAUUAAAACUUUUAACAACGGAUCUCUUGGUUCUGGCAUCGAUGAAGAACGCAGCGAAAUGCGAUAAGUAAUGUGAAUUGCAGAAUUCAGUGAAUCAUCGAAUCUUUGAACGCACAUUGCGCCCCCUGGUAUUCCGGGGGGCAUGCCUGUUCGAGCGUCAUUUCACCACUCAAGCCUCGCUUGGUAUUGGGCAACGCGGUCCGCCGCGUGCCUCAAAUCGACCGGCUGGGUCUUCUGUCCCCUAAGCGUUGUGGAAACUAUUCGCUAAAGGGUGUUCGGGAGGCUACGCCGUAAAACAACCCCAUUUCUAAGGUUGACCUCGGAUCAGGUAGGGAUACCCGCUGAACUUAAGCAUAUCAAAACCCCGGAGAAAA
rnacentral:rRNA from 1 species